AGAGUUUGAUCCUGGCUCAGGAUGAACGCUGGCGGCGUGCUUAACACAUGCAAGUCGAGCGAAGCAAUUUAAGUGAAGUUUUCGGAUGGAUCUUAGAUUGACUGAGCGGCGGACGGGUGAGUAACGCGUGGAUAACCUGCCUCACACAGGGGGAUAACAGUUAGAAAUGACUGCUAAUACCGCAUAAGCGCACGGUACCGCAUGGUACAGUGUGAAAAACUCCGGUGGUGUGAGAUGGAUCCGCGUCUGAUUAGGUAGUUGGUGAGGUAACGGCCCACCAAGCCGACGAUCAGUAGCCGACCUGAGAGGGUGACCGGCCACAUUGGGACUGAGACACGGCCCAAACUCCUACGGGAGGCAGCAGUGGGGAAUAUUGCACAAUGGGCGAAAGCCUGAUGCAGCAACGCCGCGUGAGUGAAGAAGUAUCUCGGUAUGUAAAGCUCUAUCAGCAGGGAAGAAAAUGACGGUACCUGACUAAGAAGCCCCGGCUAACUACGUGCCAGCAGCCGCGGU
rnacentral:rRNA from 1 species